rnacentral:lncRNA from 1 species
ACACAUCUAACCACUCUUCAGCUGAUAUCCACUUGCUGACAAAUGAAUCUCUCUGGCCCCUGGACUGUGCCCUGAAACACAGCUUAAAACAGCAGAAUGAACAGUAAUCCCAGAGAUCCUGAGAUGAGAAAAGGGUGUUUGACUUAUUCAAAGAAGACCAAGGAAGCCCAAAGACCAGAGAAGAGUGCAGGAAAGGGGCGGCGGUCUGAGAUGCAGUCAGAGCAGUGGCAAGCCCCCAGAGUCUGUGGCAAAGACUUCAGGUUUCAUCCUGAAGAGGAAGACAGGUCUUUGGAGAGUUUUGAUCAAGGAAGUGAGAUGAAAUAUCUUAGGCUUACAAAGAACUACUCUGACAUCUAAAUGGAAAAUGGACUGAUGAAGCAAAAGAAGCCACAAGGAAGCCAGUUCAGAGGCUAUUGAAAUGCUCCAGAGGAACAGCGGUUUAUUGAAAGGAAAGCAAAUGUCCAGAAGCAAAAACAAACAAACAAAAAACAAACAAACAAACAAAAACAGAAAAAACUUCCCCAAAAGUAAAGAAUCACAGCUUUAUUCAGUAGCUCCUCAAUUAAAAUAGUCAUCUUCUUAAUUGUGCCAUCUUCAGAAGCAGCCAUAUAUACUGUAGUUAAGAGGCACAUGGUGAGAAAUUUGGGGUCCAAUCAAGAUGAUAGGAUUCAUCUACAUGGCAGCCCUCAAAGAUUCUGGAAGAGAAAAAUGGUGAAAAGAUACUCAGAGAGUGAGAGCCUUCAGAUUUGGGUGAGUGAUGCCAUUAGAACCAAGAUUUCUUCCAUUCUUCUGCUCUAUCAUUCUCAGCACAACAUGCUUUUCUCAUUAAGGCCGCUGUGGUUCGUCUUCUGCCUGGGAACUGGAUAAAAACAUCAGUGAAUACCCCAAAGGUCAGAAUUUCAGAACUGCUGCCACAACUGUAUUGUCACCAAGUAGUCACCAUGCUCUCACUCACUCUCUUUUUUUAAGAGGCCUGGUCAUGUCCGGGGGAAUGCCAGAUUUUCAAAAAUGCUUGUUGAUAAAAUGAAGUCAGAAUGUGAGAUGAGCCCUUCCACCUGAGUGAUGUUGGUCUUGGCUGUGUGAUUUGCUUUGGCUGAUGAUAAGUUGAUGGAAGUGAUAGUAAGACAAUGCUGAGCCUCAUCCUCGGAAGUAUCUCUGCCUUCACCUGGCUUUGUGCACCACUGCCCUGGCUUUGAGAAGAACAUGAGCCCAGUAAAUUGUUAGUCCAGGAAGAAUGAGAGAGAAAGUCCUGAGGCAGAGAAGUGGAGAGAAGUUGCUGCUUGAGCUUGAGAAAGAAUGGUGGCAGAGUACAUGCAUGGAAGUGCUACCAUAGCUGCUCUGAAAUCAGAGGAAAGUGGAAUUAUAAGAAGACCCCAUCUGACAAGGCUCAUAAAGGAGAGCAACUCUUAUGGAAUACAUCCAAGAUAUAUACGUCUUUGAAGAAAGACAUCACUCAACUGUGAAAGAUCACCAUGACCCCUGCUUUAAUUUCAUCAAAAAACUUAGUCCAUCAGCUCAGUUACCCUUUAGCCUUGCAUGGGAAUUGACUCAGAGCUUCUGCAAGAUCAGGCCCUAUAUUAGGUAUUGAGGGUUCAGGGAUGAACUAAGCUGAUCUGGUUCCUGCUCUCUAGGCUGUAGAAGAUGGCAAGUGCUGUGGACUUCAAAGAAAAGAUUUCUGAAGUGUCAUGUUAUGACAAUUGUGAUGCUUCAAACUAUGUUGACUAUUCAUUUACAGCAUAAAGAAGAGUGAGCCACUUUAUCACUGCAGUAAUUAUAUUUUAAAAAUAAAGAAAAUAAAACAAAUGGAGUUUCCCACCCAAUCCAUGGAGACACAGACACGAAGUCUUACUAUAGAUGUGUGGCCAAUCCUUACAUUGCUUUUAUUACAAGCCUGGAAAUGACAAUAAAAUACAUGAACUUGAGAGUAUAUA